UACGUAGGGGGCAAGCGUUGUCCGGAUUUAUUGGGCGUAAAGAGCGUGUAGGCGGCUUUGCAAGUCCGUUGUGAAAACUCGAGGCUCAACCUCGAGACGCCGGUGGAAACCGUAAAGCUAGAGUCCGGAAGAGGAGAGUGGAAUUCCUGGUGUAGCGGUGAAAUGCGCAGAUAUCAGGAGGAACACCCGUGGCGAAAGCGGCUCUCUGGGACGGUACUGACGCUGAGACGCGAAAGCGUGGGGAGCAAACAGG
rnacentral:rRNA from 1 species